GACGAAGGUGGCGAGCGUUGUUCGGAAUCACUGGGCAUAAAGCGCACGUAGGCGGCUAGGUAAGUCGGAUGUGAAAUACCUCGACUCAACCGAGGAACUGCGUCCGAUACUGCCUGGCUUGAGGUCCGGAGGGGAGAGUGGAAGUUCCCGGUGGAGCGGUGAAAUGCGUAGAGAUCGGGAAGAACGCCGGCGGCGAAAGCGACUCUCUGGUCGGAAUCUGACGCUGAGGUGCGAAAGCUAGGGGAGCAAACGGGG
rnacentral:rRNA from 1 species